UACGUAGGCAGCGAGCGUUGUUCGGAGUUACUGGGCGUAAAGGGUGUGUAGGCGGUUCUUAAGUUUGGUGUGAAAUCUCCCGGCUCAACCGGGAGGGUGCGCCGAAUACUGAGGAACUAGAGUACGGGAGAGGAAAGUGGAAUUCCUGGUGUAGCGGUGAAAUGCGCAGAUAUCAGGAAGAACACCCGUGGCGAAGGCGGCUCUUCGUGGGACGGUACUGACGCUGAGACGCGAAAGCGUGGGGAGCGAACAGG
rnacentral:rRNA from 1 species